UUUUUUUUCUCUCCAGUUCUAGUAAUUGAUAUAGAAAGAGAGAGUAUUUUUCACAUCUGACCUCCUCAUAGGCUAAAACAGAUGCAUAGAAUGGUUAAAUGACUAUAGCAAAUUUUCUCAUGAUUACCAUAUCCAUGGUAAGAUCAAAUUUGUCUCCAUAUGGCAAAAAUAUUAUUUGAGGGUUUUUUUUAAAUGUUUAAUAUCAAGUAGAGUGAGUGCAUCAAUAACAUUUCAUACGUUUAGCAAUUCAGUAAAACUCCCUGUAAAUUGUUGUUAUAGUUUAUGCCAUAAUUCAUGACACUGUCAUGUACCCUCCGUGACAGUUCAACUACACUUGGAAAUAGUUGAAAAUAGUUUGUUUUCCAUAGUUUUGUAAGAUGUGUCCUGAAUACAAUAGCAGGGCCUUCACUGCUACUUUUAUGUUAAAGUGUUACGUAUAAAGAUUACCAAAGAAAAGCUACAUUAAUUUUCAGCUCAACUCUAAAAAGUGAGUCCAGGUUUGCUGUAACCUGUUAUCUAAAACAAUGAAUGUCAGUAAAAUCAGUGUGACAGAUAAGGACUAGAUUUCACAUAAUCUGAUUUUAACUGUCUGAAAAUUAAAAAUCUAGUUUAAAUUGCUCUCUGGUUAAUGGGGAUAUUUAGGCAGCCCAGGAAGGGCAGCAUGGGUAAGAGUGGACUAAAAUAUGACAUUUAAGGUGGAUAGGAUAAAUCAUCCUGUGGAAAUGCCUGUAGAAGUACUCACAGUCUGUGGAAUCUGGAUACAAGCAUGAUUCAGUCACCUAAAUAUUGGUGCCUGGUGCUGUUUAAGGCAUCCUUACAGGGAUCAUAAUUCAUCACUGUAUUUGCAACUAAUUAAAAAUAGAUCUGACAGGAGACCUGAGAGUAUCUCAGAUGUUAGUGGGUGCGAAUGAUUAACAAACCAAGAAUCAGGACACUAACUUUUAAAAAUCCCAAAUUAGAAGAAAAUAGGUCUCAAAGACUAGAAUACUUCAAAAUAGUUCAAAACCUCAACCCCUCAAAAAUCCUUAUUUGAAGCAGCUCUGUUUAACAUCUUUGUUGGUGACAGGCUGACAGACUUGAGAGGUGGUCCUGUGUGAACCUUGUGGAGUUCAACAAGGCCUGCUCCCAGGUAGGGCAAUCUCAAGCACAACUACAGGCUGGGCAGGGGAUGGAUUGAAAGCAGCCCUCAUGGGGAUGCUGGUUGAUGAGAUCAACAUGAGCCGGCAGUGUGCACUCACAGCCCAGAAAGCCAACCCUAUCAUGGGCUGCAUCAAAAAAACCUUGACCUCCCAGAUCAAGGAAGAUUUAGGCUAUUAAGGAUCAUUCAGAGCAUUAGAGUUAAUUCAUGUAUUGAAUUCAUAGGAUUUGGAGACCCUAAACUCUCCAAAAUACAGGUCCUAAAUUACCAGAGGAGGGGGAGUUCUGUUGAUGUGAACUGCUGGGGGUGUGACACCCCUCUGUGAGCACUUCCAGGCAGACUUGGCAUCUCCUGGGCACUGUACAGGCUUAUAUCGUUCAGAGAACCGCUCUAGGACAUUCUCAGAAACUGUUACCCCCAAAUCAGAAUGGAAAAGAACACCAAAUCAGGUCCAUAGGCCUCAGAUCUGAGGAAUUAAAGGGCAGAAAAAUUGACAAUGGCUGGCAGAAGACCUCAAAGAGAAAGCACAGAAGGUCACAAAAAGUUCUCAAUAAACUAAAAUAUUGAUGAAGACAGAAGACAACUACUGGGUAUCACCGAGUAUCUGUAUUGUCACAAAAUCACUGUGGUCCUAUCUCUGAAACAUGCUGAGGAUCCUGGACUUUCCACCGUAUGAACAGGUAUUUCUAUCUACACGCAGCUGAACCCCACAGAGAUAAAAGUCUCAGGCCUCAAAGGCAUUCUGAUUACACCAGCAUGACACCACUCUUAAGCUAAUUAUCUCUGCCUUUUGAUAGGACCAGCUAUUUUGGCACAUUGUAACAUCAAUGUACGUAUACUGUUUCUGAUUCUUGGACUAGCUUAGUAUUAGUUUCAAGAUAUUUACCCAAAUAUGUCUUGGAUGUCUUUGAGCAGAUUGCAUAGCUACUACAGCAGAAAUCAAAGGCCUGAGAAAAACUUCUAUGUAAAAUCUAUGUGAAUAGUACAUUGG